rnacentral:rRNA from 1 species
CCUACGGGCGGCAGCAGUAGGGAAUUUUCGGCAAUGGGGGGAACCCUGACCGAGCAACGCCGCGUGAACGAAGAAGUUAUUCGUAAUGUAAAGUUCUUUUAACAGGGAAGAAAGAGAAAUUUGACGGUACCUGAAGAAUAAGCCCCGGCUAACUACGUGCCAGCAGCCGCGGUAAUACGUAGGGGGCGAGCGUUAUCCGGAUUCACUGGGUGUAAAGGGAGCGUAGACGGCCGUGCAAGCCAGGAGUGAAAGCCCGGGGCCCAACCCCGGGACUGCUCUUGGAACUGUGCGGCUGGAGUGCGGGAGGGGCAGGCGGAAUGCCUGGUGUAGCGGUGAAAUGCGUAGAUAUCAGGAGGAACACCGGCGGCGAAGGCGGCCUGCUGGACCGCGACUGACGUUGAGGCUCGAAAGCGUGGGGAGCGAACAGGAUUAGAUACCCGAGUAGUC